rnacentral:rRNA from 1 species
CCUGGUUGAUUCUGCCAGUAGUCAUAUGCUUGUCUCAAAGAUUAAGCCAUGCAUGUCUAAGUAUAAGCAAUUAUACAGCGAAACUGCGAAUGGCUCAUUAUAUAAGUUAUCGUUUAUUUGAUAGUACCUUACUACUUGGAUAACCGUGGUAAUUCUAGAGCUAAUACAUGCUAAAAAUCCCGACUUCGGAAGGGAUGUAUUUAUUAGAUUAAAAACCAAUGCCCUCUGGGCUCUCUGGUGAUUCAUAAUAACUUCUCGAAUCGCAUGGCCUUGUGCCGGCGAUGGUUCAUUCAAAUUUCUUCCCUAUCAACUUUCGAUGUUUGGGUAGUGGCCAAACAUGGUUGCAACGGGUAACGGAGGGUUAGGGCUCGACCCCGGAGAAGGAGCCUGAGAAACGGCUACUACAUCCAAGGAAGGCAGCAGGCGCGCAAAUUACCCAAUCCCGAUUCGGGGAGGUAGUGACAAUAAAUACCGAUACAGGGCUCUUUUGGGUCUUGUAAUUGGAAUGAGUACAAUUUAAAUCCCUUAACGAGGAACAAUUGGAGGGCAAGUCUGGUGCCAGCAGCCGCGGUAAUUCCAGCUCCAAUAGCGUAUAUUAAAGUUGUUGUGGUUAAAAAGCUCGUAGUUGAACCUUGGGCCUGGCUGGCCGGUCCGCCUCACCGCGUGUACUGGUCCGGCCGGGCCUUUCCCUCUGUGGAACCCCAUGCCCUUCACUGGGCGUGGCGGGGAAACAGGACUUUUACUUUGAAAAAAUUAGAGUGCUCCAGGCAGGCCUAUGCUCGAAUACAUUAGCAUGGAAUAAUGAAAUAGGACGCGCGGUUCUAUUUUGUUGGUUUCUAGGACCGCCGUAAUGAUUAAUAGGGACAGUCGGGGGCAUCAGUAUUCAAUUGUCAGAGGUGAAAUUCUUGGAUUUAUUGAAGACUAACUACUGCGAAAGCAUUUGCCAAGGAUGUUUUCAUUAAUCAGGAACGAAAGUUAGGGGAUCGAAGACGAUCAGAUACCGUCGUAGUCUUAACCAUAAACUAUGCCGACUAGGGAUCGGACGAUGUUAUUUUUUGACUCGUUCGGCACCUUACGAGAAAUCAAAGUGCUUGGGCUCCAGGGGGAGUAUGGUCGCAAGGCUGAAACUUAAAGAAAUUGACGGAAGGGCACCACCAGGGGUGGAGCCUGCGGCUUAAUUUGACUCAACACGGGGAAACUCACCAGGUCCAGACACAAUGAGGAUUGACAGAUUGAGAGCUCUUUCUUGAUUUUGUGGGUGGUGGUGCAUGGCCGUUCUUAGUUGGUGGAGUGAUUUGUCUGCUUAAUUGCGAUAACGAACGAGACCUUAACCUGCUAAAUAGCCCGUAUUGCUUUGGCAGUACGCCGGCUUCUUAGAGGGACUAUCGGCUCAAGCCGAUGGAAGUUUGAGGCAAUAACAGGUUGACCUACACAGGCCUGUAACAGUGGGCCUCUGGAAAAAAGAUAACCGCUAGUCCAGUUACUUUGCUCUCGCGGGGGAAGUCCCCCUUUAUCGGGCGAGGGAGCAGCGUCGCCCGGCGCUGCUUGUUUCGGGCAACACCACCUGGUACAGGGAACGCCCAACGGGCCGAUCCUGUGGCGAGCCUGGGUAACGCCAGGCCGUCGCAACGCGCGCUAAGGGGUGGGCUAAGCCUCCGGGCUGGCUUAAGGUACGUGCUAAUCCCAUGGGAAAAAAACCAUGCCUUCAUAUGGAGCCCCGAUAAGGCAAAGUAUGUUGGG